rnacentral:rRNA from 1 species
AGAGCGGAUUAGCGGCGGACGGGUGAGUAACACGUGAGUAACCUGCCUUAGACAUUGGGAUAGCCUCGGGAAACCGGGAUUAAUACCAAAUAAAAUCAUAAUGACACAUGUCAUAACGAUCAAAACUCCGGUGGUCUAAGAUGGACUCGCGUCCCAUUAGCUAGUUGGUAGAGUAAAAGCCUACCAAGGCGACGAUGGGUAGCCGGCCUGAGAGGGUGAACGGCCACAUUGGAACUGGGAAACGGUCCAA